UACGUAGGUGGCGAGCGUUAUCCGGAAUUACUGGGUGUAAAGGGAGCGCAGGCGGGGAACCAAGUUGGAUGUGAAAUACCGCAGCUCAACUGCGGGGCUGCAUCCAAAACUGGAUCUCUUGAGUGAAGUAGAGGUAGACGGAAUUCCUAGUGUAGCGGUGAAAUGCGUAGAUAUUAGGAGGAACACCAGUGGCGGAGGCGGCCCACUGGGCUUUAACUGACGCUGAGGCUCGAAAGCGUGGGGAGCAAACAGG
rnacentral:rRNA from 1 species